rnacentral:rRNA from 1 species
GGGUUGUGAGGUUAAGCGACUAAGCGUACACGGUGGAUGCCCGGCAGUCAGAGGCGAUGAAGGACGUGCUAAUCUGCGAAAAGCGUCGGUAAGGUGAUAUGAACCGUUAUAACCGACGAUGUCCGAAUGGGGAAACCCAGUGUGAUUCGUCACACUAUCGUUAACUGAAUACAUAGGUUAACGAGGCGAACCGGGGGAACUGAAACAUCUAAGUACCCCGAGGAAAAGAAAUCAACCGAGAUUCCCCCAGUAGCGGCGAGCGAACGGGGAGCAGCCCAGAGUCUGAAUCAGCUUGUGUGUUAGUGGAACGGUCUGGAAAGUCCGACGGUACAGGGUGAUAGUCCCGUACACCAAAAUGCACAGGUUGUGAACUCGAAGAGUAGGGCGGGACACGUGGUAUCCUGUCUGAAUAUGGGGGGACCAUCCUCCAAGGCUAAAUACUCCUGACUGACCGAUAGUGAACCAGUACCGUGAGGGAAAGGCGAAAAGAACCCCGGCGAGGGGAGUGAAAAGAACCUGAAACCGUGUACGUACAAGCAGUGGGAGCACCUUCGGGUGUGACUGCGUACCUUUUGUAUAAUGGGUCAGCGACUUAUAUUCUGUAGCAAGGUUAACCGUAUAGGGGAGCCGCAGGGAAACCGAGUCUUAACUGGGCGUUAAGUUGCAGGGUAUAGACCCGAAACCCGGUGAUCUAGCCAUGGGCAGGUUGAAGGUUGGGUAACACUAACUGGAGGACCGAACCGACUAAUGUUGAAAAAUUAGCGGAUGACUUGUGGCUGGGGUGAAAGGCCAAUCAAACCGGGAGAUAGCUGGUUCUCCCGAAAGCUAUUUAGGUAGCGCCUCGUGAACUCAUCUUCGGGGUAGAGCACUGUUUCGGCUAGGGGUCAUCCCGACUUACCAACCCGAUGCAAACUACGAAUACCGAAGAAUGUUAUCACGGGAGACACACGGCGGGUGCUAACGUCGUGAAGAGGGAAACAACCCAGACCGCCAGCUAAGGUCCCAAAGUCAUGGUUAAGUGGGAAACGAUGUGGGAAGGCACAGACAGCCAGGAUGUUGGCUUAGAAGCAGCCAUCAUUUAAAGAAAGCGUAAUAGCUCACUGGUCGAGUCGGCCUGCGCGGAAGAUGUAACGGGCUAAACCAUGCACCGAAGCUGCGGCAGCGACACUAUGUGUUGUUGGGUAGGGGAGCGUUCUGUAAGCCUGCGAAGGUGUGCUGUGAGGCAUGCUGGAGGUAUCAGAAGUGCGAAUGCUGACAUAAGUAACGAUAAAGCGGGUGAAAAGCCCGCUCGCCGGAAGACCAAGGGUUCCUGUCCAACGUUAAUCGGGGCAGGGUGAGUCGACCCUAAGGCGAGGCCGAAAGGCGUAGUCGAUGGGAAACAGGUUAAUAUUCCUGUACUUGGUGUUACUGCGAAGGGGACGGAGAAGGCUAUGUUAGCCGGGCGACGGUUGUCCCGGUUUAAGCAUGUAGGCUGAUUGUCCGUGCAAAUCCGGAUAAUCAAGGCUGAGGUGUGAUGACGAGGCACUACGGUGCUGAAGUAACAAAUGCCCUGCUUCCAGGAAAAGCCUCUAAGCAUCAGGUAACAUCAAAUCGUACCCCAAACCGACACAGGUGGUCAGGUAGAGAAUACCAAGGCGCUUGAGAGAACUCGGGUGAAGGAACUAGGCAAAAUGGUGCCGUAACUUCGGGAGAAGGCACGCUGGUGUGUAGGUGAAGUCCCUGCGGAUGGAGCUGAGACCAGUCGAAGAUACCAGCUGGCUGCAACUGUUUAUUAAAAACACAGCACUGUGCAAACACGAAAGUGGACGUAUACGGUGUGACGCCUGCCCGGUGCCGGAAGGUUAAUUGAUGGGGUUAUCCGUAAGGAGAAGCUCUUGAUCGAAGCCCGGUAAACGGCGGCCGUAACUAUAACGGUCCUAAGGUAGCGAAAUUCCUUGUCGGGUAAGUUCCGACCUGCACGAAUGGCGUAAUGAUGGCGAGGCUGUCUCCACCCGAGACUCAGUGAAAUUGAACUCGCUGUGAAGAUGCAGUGUACCCGCGGCAAGACGGAAAGACCCCGUGAACCUUUACUAUAGCUUGACACUGAACAUUGAGCCUUGAUGUGUAGGAUAGGUGGGAGGCUUUGAAGCGUGGACGCCAGUCUGCGUGGAGCCAACCUUGAAAUACCACCCUUUAAUGUUUGAUGUUCUAACGUUGGCCCCUUACCGGGGUUGCGGACAGUGUCUGGUGGGUAGUUUGACUGGGGCGGUCUCCUCCCAAAGCGUAACGGAGGAGCACGAAGGUUAGCUAAUCCUGGUCGGACAUCAGGAGGUUAGUGCAAUGGCAUAAGCUAGCUUGACUGCGAGCGUGACGGCGCGAGCAGGUGCGAAAGCAGGUCAUAGUGAUCCGGUGGUUCUGAAUGGAAGGGCCAUCGCUCAACGGAUAAAAGGUACUCCGGGGAUAACAGGCUGAUACCGCCCAAGAGUUCAUAUCGACGGCGGUGUUUGGCACCUCGAUGUCGGCUCAUCACAUCCUGGGGCUGAAGUAGGUCCCAAGGGUAUGGCUGUUCGCCAUUUAAAGUGGUACGCGAGCUGGGUUUAGAACGUCGUGAGACAGUUCGGUCCCUAUCUGCCGUGGGCGCUGGAGAAUUGAGGGGCUGCUCCUAGUACGAGAGGACCAGUGGACGCAUCACUGGUGUUCGGGUUGUCAUGCCAAUGGCACUGCCCGGUAGCUAAAUGCGGAAGAGAUAAGUGCUGAAAGCAUCUAAGCACGAAACUUGCCCCGAGAUGAGUUCUCCUGAGACUUUAAGUCUCCUGAAGGAACGUUGAAGACGACGACGUUGAUAGGCCGGGUGUGUAAGCGCAGCGAUGCGUUGAGCUAACCGGUACUAAUGAACCGUGAGGCUUAACCUUACAACGCCGAAG